rnacentral:rRNA from 1 species
UACGAAGGGUGCAAACGUUGCUCGGAAUUAUUGGGCGUAAAGCGCACGUAGGCGGCUUGGAUAGUCGGAUGUGAAAGCCCUUGGCUCAACCAAGGAAGUGCAUCCGAAACUGCCAAGCUUGAGUACUAAAGAGGAUCGCGGAAUUCCCCGGUGUAGAGGUGAAAUGCGCAGAUAUCGGGAAGAACACCUAUGGCGAAGGCAGCUCUCUGGGACGGUACUGACGGCUGAGACGCGAAAGCGUGGGGAGCGAACAGG